AUGACAUUCUCUUAUGUCGCUGCUGGAUGGGAGGGUUCUGCAUCGGAUCAAGUUGUUCUAAGAUGGGCUGUUACUAGUGGGGGUUUAGUUGUUCCUGAAUCUAAAUAUUACCUUGUUGAUUCAGGCUACACGAAUACUCCAAGAUUUAUUGCCCCGUAUCGUGGAGAUCGCUAUCAUAUUGCUUCAUUUCGUGGAAGUAAUCGGUGA
rnacentral:rRNA from 1 species